GUGCCAGCCGCCGCGGUAAUACGGAGGUUGCAAGCGUUGUUCGGAAUGACUGGGCGUAAAGGGAGCGCAGGCGGUUGGGCAAGUCCAAAGUGAAAGCCCGGGGCUCAACUCCGGAAGUGCUUUGGAUACUGCCUUACUCGAGUUCGUGAGAGGAAAGCGGAAUUCCAGGUGUAGCGGUGAAAUGCGUAGAUAUCUGGAGGAACACCGGUGGCGAAAGCGGCUUUCUGGCACGAUACUGACGCUGAGGCUCGAAAGCGUGGGGAGCAAACAGGAUUAGAUACCCUGGUAGUCCACGCUGUAAACGUUGUGCACUAGGUGUGGGAGGUAUCGACCCCUCCCGUGCCGCAGCUAACGCAUUAAGUGCACCGCCUGGGGAGUACGGUCGCAAGACUGAAACUCAAAGGAAUUGACGGGG
rnacentral:rRNA from 1 species